ACUCGAGUGGCGAACGGGUGAGUAACACGUGGGUGAUCUGCCCUGCACUUCGGGAUAAGCUUAGGAAACUGGGUCUAAUACCGGAUAGGAGCCAUCUUUAGUGUGGUGGUUGGAAAGUUUUUUCGGUGUAGGAUGAGCUCGCGGCCUAUCAGCUUGUUGGUGGGGUAAUGGCCUACCAAGGCGGCGACGGGUAGCCGGCCUGAGAGGGUGAUCGGCCACAUUGGGACUGAGAUACGGCCCAG
rnacentral:rRNA from 1 species